rnacentral:rRNA from 1 species
AUUGAACGCUGGCGGCAGGCCUAACACAUGCAAGUCGAACGAGUGGCGGACGGGUGAGUAAUGUCUGGGAAAAUGCACGAUGGAGGGGGAUAACUACUGGAAACGGUAGCUAAUACCGCAUACCAUCGGAUGUGCCCAGAUGGGAUUAGCUAGUAGGUGGGGUAACGGCUCACCUAGGCGACGAUCCCUAGAUGGGCUGGGAGGAUGACCAUCCACACUGGAACUGAGACACGGUCCAGACGCCUACGGGAGGCAGCAGUGGGGAAUAUGGCACAAUGGGCGCAAUCCUGAUGCAGCCAUGCCGCGUGUAUGAAGAAGGCCUUCGGGUUGUAAAGUACUUGCAGCGAGGAGGCGUUACUCGCAGAAGAAGCACCGGCUAACUCCGUGCCAGCCGCCGCGGUAAUUC